CUGGGGGUGCUACCAUGCAAGUCGAACGUGAUCCGCCCUUCGGGGUGGUGAAAGUGGCGCACGGGUGAGUAACGCGUGGAUAAUCUGCCCGAGGAUUUGGGAUAACAUCUCGAAAGGGGUGCUAAUACCGAAUAAGCCCACGGGGUCUACGGAUCUUGCGGGAAAAGGGGGGGACCUUCGGGCCUCCUGUCCUUGGAUGAGUCUGCGUACCAUUAGCUAGUUGGUGGGGUAAUGGCCUACCAAGGCGACGAUGGUUAGCUGGUCUGAGAGGAUGAUCAGCCACACUGGAACUGAGACACGGUCCAGACUCCUACGGGAGGCAGCAGUGGGGAAUUUUGCGCAAUGGGGGAAACCCUGACGCAGCAACGCCGCGUGGGUGAUGAAGGCCUUCGGGUCGUAAAGCUCUGUCUGGAGGGAAGAAAUGAUUGGGAGCUAAUACCUCUUGAUCUUGACGGUACCUCUGAAGGAAGCACCGGCUAACUCCGUGCCAGCAGCCGCGGUAAUACGGAGGGUGCAAGCGUUGUUCGGAAUUAUUGGGCGUAAAGCGCGUGUAGGCGGUCUUUUAAGUCUGAUGUGAAAGCCCCGGGCUCAACCUGGGAAGUGCAUUGGAAACUGGGAGGCUUGAGUACGGGAGAGGAGAGUGGAAUUCCUAGUGUAGGAGUGAAAUCCGUAGAUAUUAGGAGGAACACCGGUGGCGAAGGCGGCUCUCUGGACCGAUACUGACGCUGAGACGCGAAAGCGUGGGUAGCAAACAGGAUUAGAUACCCUGGUAGUCCACGCCGUAGACGAUGAGUACUAGGUGUUGCGGGUAUUGACCCCU
rnacentral:rRNA from 1 species